UACGUAGGGUGCGAGCGUUGUCCGGAAUUAUUGGGCGUAAAGGGCUCGUAGGCGGUUUGUCGCGUCGGGAGUGAAAACUCAGGGCUUAACUCUGAGCCUGCUUCCGAUACGGGCAGACUAGAGGUAUGCAGGGGAGAACGGAAUUCCUGGUGUAGCGGUGAAAUGCGCAGAUAUCAGGAGGAACACCGGUGGCGAAGGCGGUUCUCUGGGCAUGACCUGACGCUGAGGAGCGAAAGUGUGGGGAGCGAACAGG
rnacentral:rRNA from 1 species